rnacentral:snoRNA from 1 species
UUCAUUGUUGUCAAUGAUGUAUUCCUUUUGGAACUGAAUCUUAAGUGAUUUAAAAAAAAUUCGUCACUACCGCUGAGACAACAAUGAA